UGAAAUGUUGGUUGUAUUAAUCUUGUUUUUGUUGUUUUUUUUUAGAAAAUGUCUACCGCCCGGCUGUUCAAACACCUAACCACCAGGACCACGAUCUUUUGAUAAAGAUUCAAAGUGAUGUGGCGUCCCUGAAAAGGUCUGUUCUGGCAUUGUCCGAAACCCAGCAGGAGAUUUUGGACAAUGUAAAACGAAUCAGGCGCUCGGCUGAAACCAAAAAUUUUAAUCUGGCAAAUUGUAGCCAUACUGACAACAUCAUCCGACUUCUUGGGAAAUACUAUAUGUGCAAGGGGAGAUUUUCUUUGCAGUCCCCUGAGAAAGAGAGAUCAUUGAAGUUGGAGUUCUCCAACUCUCCAACAGGCCUAAGUUGUCAGGAACUAUUGUUGAGGUUCCAGAAGUUUGAGAAGGCCAAACUCUCUUAUUGGAGAAGUGAGGAAAGA